AGAGUUUGAUCCUGGCUCAGAAUGAACGUUGGCGGCGUGGAUUAGGCAUGCAAGUCGCACGAGACACCAAUUAGCUUGCUAAGAGGUAGACAGUGGCGAAAGGGAGGGUAACGCGUGGUUACUUGCCCUCGAGACCGGGAUAGUGUCGGGAAACUGGCAGUAAUACCGGAUAACAUCUUCGGAUCAAAUGGUGUGAUUCCGCUCGAGGAUAGGACCGCGUACUAUUAGCUUGUUGGUGAGGUAACGGCUCACCAAGGCUGCGAUGGUUACCGGGUGUGAGAGCAUGGCCCGGCUCACUGGGACUGAGACACUGCCCAGACACCUACGGGUGGCUGCAGUCGAGAAUCUUCGGCAAUGGACGAAAGUCUGACCGAGCGACGCCGCGUGCGGGAUGAAGGCCCUCGGGUUGUAAACCGCUGUCAGUAGUUAGGAAAUCCAUGAGGGUUAUCUCUCAUGGUUGACCGAUCUUCAGAGGAAGGACGGGCUAAGUUCGUGCCAGCAGCCGCGGUAAGACGAACCGUCCAAACGUUAUUCGGUAUCACUGGGCUUAAAGCGUGCGUAGGCGGCUUGGUAGGUGAGAUGUGAAAGCCCACGGCUCAACCGUGGAAUUGCGUUUCAAACCCCCAAGCUCGAGGAAGAUAGGGGUGAUGGGAACUUAUGGUGGAGCGGUGAAAUGCGUUGAUAUCAUAGGGAACACCGGUGGCGAAAGCGCAUCACUGGAUCUUUUCUGUCGCUGAGGCACGAAAGCUAGGGUAGCGAACGGGAUUAGAUACCCCGGUAGUCCUAGCCGUAAACGAUGAACACUGGGUUGAGGGGACUU
rnacentral:rRNA from 1 species